rnacentral:tRNA from 1 species
GCCUGGGUGGCUCAGUUGGUUGAGCGUCUGACUUCGGCUUAGGUCCCCGUCAGUGGGUUCGAGCCCCGCAUCCGGCU